AGUGAAUAGAUACCCGGGUAGUCCUAGCCGUAAACGAUACUCGCUAGGUGUCGGCCACGGUGCGACCGUUGUCGGUGCCGUAGGGAAAGCCGUGAAGCGAGCCACCUGGGAAGUACGGCCGCAAGGCUGAAACUUAAAGGAAUUGGCGGGGGAGCACCACAACGGGUGGAGCUUGCGGUUUAAUUGGAUUCAACGCCGGAAAUCUUACCGGGACCGACAGCAACAUGAAGGCCAGGCUGAAGACUUUGCCGGAUUAGCUGAGAGGUGGUGCAUGGCCGUCGCCAGUUCGUACUGUGAAAGCAUCCUGUUAAGUCAGGCAACGAGCGAGACCCACGCCCACAGUUGCCAGCGUACUCUCCGGAGUGACGGGUACACUGUGGGGACCGCCGCUGCUAAAGCGGAGGAAGGAAUGGGCAACGGUAGGUCAGUAUGCCCCGAAUAUCCCGGGCUACACGCGAGCUACAAUGGUUGGUACAAUGGGUAUCUACCCCGAAAGGGGAUGGAAAUCUCCUAAAGCCAAUCUUAGUUCGGAUUGAGGGCUGCAACUCGCCCUC
rnacentral:rRNA from 1 species